ACGAUAAAUUUACCCUCUCUUGAUUAACCAGCUUGUGUACUGCCGUCGUAAGCAUACCUCUAAAAGUCUUAAUAAGUAUGCAACUAUGACCAGCCCUCAUUUACGUCAGGUCAAAGUGCAGCCUAUGACAGGGAGACGAUGGGUUACACCCUAAAUAUAGAUACGAAAUAAGGUCUUAAACCCUUUAUAAAGGUGGACUUGGUUGUAAUAGUAGUCCAAUAUUAUAAUGAAAUUGAAUCUAAGACAUGCACACAUCGCCCGUCACUCUCACCCAAAGGCGAGAUAAGUCGUAACAAAGUAGGUGUAACGGAAGUUGCACCUGU
rnacentral:rRNA from 1 species